GGGUAAUUUAUUUUUUUAUUAAUAAAGAUUGAUUUUGUCUUUUAUGAAUUGGUUUAAUUUGAUAAUAUUAUAUAUAAGUUUUUGCGUGUUGUGGUUUUUAUCUUAAUGGUAAAUUGUUGUUUUUAUUUGUAGUUUUUUAUAUUAGUUUAUUUUGUAAUUAAAGAUCUAGUUAAUUUAUUUUAGAGUAGUAAAAUUUUGUGCCAGCAGACGCGGUUAUACAAUUUACUCAAAUUAAUUUUUUUGGUUGGUAUUUAUUUAUUCUUGUUAGGAGAUUAAUUUUUUUUUAUUAGGUGAAAUUUUAAU
rnacentral:rRNA from 1 species